UCUUUGCUAGUAUAUCGGUUAGUACACGCGCCUGUCAUUGAUGGCUUCAUUGUAAAAUGAUCGCGCGAAAGCUGGGUUCGACUCCCAGGCAGAGAG